AGCGAAGCUUGUCAAGUGACUUUUCAAGUGCUUCUCGAAUUUCGUAUUUUAUUUAAAAUCAAGACAAAUCUCUGGCACAUGGCAGAUGACAUUUAAUGUGGCCUUUAGAGCAAGGCCUGUCGACACCAGCCAACAACGUCAAAAUCGAAUAGUCAACAACGCAACACAAUGCAAGUGGCCAAAAUGAGAGGGAGGGAAAUAAACGGAUGUUGGGGUGUGGGUAUGCCGUUGAGUGAGGAGUCAGAGCCACGCUGCAUAUUUCAACAUUUCCGGUUUGAUUUCACAUUCCAAACAAAAUGGCCGGCAGACGUGCUUCCGCCAUCUGCUGCACGCACCCGCACCUGGUCAUUGGAGGUGGAGCCAGAAUCAGAAUCAGAAUCAGAACCAGAACCAGAUUCCGGAUCAGGGCUCAGUUUAGGGAGAGUUCAAGUGCAAGAUUCUAUGGAGUGGUGUACUUUUCAAUUUGUAAAUUACAAGCUUUUAAAAAAAUAUUCAUAGAUAGGGUCAUACGGAACUGAUAUAGGCACUUGACAAGAAUAUUUACCAAGGGUUAUAACGAAUUUUAAGAGUGAGAAACUAUUUAUUUCUAUGAAACUGAGAGGCACAGAAUCAACUUUUUAUUUUGUUAAU